UACAGAGGCCUCGAGCGUUAGGCGGAAUCACUGGGCUUAAAGCGUGUGUAGGCGGACUUCUAAGUACCUUGUGAAAUCCCACGGUUUACCCGUGGAACGGCUGGGUAUACUGGGAGUCUUGAGCCACCUAGGGGCGAGUGGAACAAAUGGUGGAGCGGUGAAAUGCGUAGAUAUCAUUUGGAACGCCAAUGGUGAAAACAACUCGCUGGGGGUGUGCUGACGCUGAGACACGAAAGCCAGGGGAGCGAACGGG
rnacentral:rRNA from 1 species